rnacentral:rRNA from 1 species
UACGUAGGGUGCAAGCGUUAAUCGGAAUUACUGGGCGUAAAGCGUGCGCAGGCGGUUUUGUAAGUCUGUUGUGAAAUCCCCGGGCUCAACCUGGGAAUGGCAAUGGAGACUGCAAGGCUAGAGUUUGGCAGAGGGGGGUAGAAUUCCACGUGUAGCAGUGAAAUGCGUAGAUAUGUGGAGGAACACCGAUGGCGAAGGCAGCCCCCUGGGUCAAAAACUGACGCUCAUGCACGAAAGCGUGGGGAGCAAACAGG